GACGAACGCUGGCGGCGUGCUUAACACAUGCAAGUCGAACGGAAAGGCCCUGCUUUUGUGGGGUGCUCGAGUGGCGAACGGGUGCGUAACACGUGAGUAACCUGCCCUUGACUUUGGGAUAACUUCAGGAAACUGGGGCUAAUAUCGGAUAGGAGCUCCUGCUGCAUGGUGGGGGUUGGAAAGUUUCGGCGGUUGGGGAUGGACUCGCGGCUUAUCAGCUUGUUGGUGGGGUAGUGGCUUACCAAGGCUUUGACGGGUAGCCGGCCUGAGAGGGUGACCGGCCACAUUGGGACUGAGAUACGGCCGAGACUCCUACGGGAGGCAGCAGUGGGGAAUAUUGCACAAUGGGCGGAGGCCUGAUGCAGCAACGCCGCGUGCGGGAUGACGGCCUUCGUGUUGUAGACCGCUUUCGCCUGAGACGAAGCGUGAGUGACGGUAAUGGGUAAAGAAGCACCGGCUAACUACGUG
rnacentral:rRNA from 1 species